rnacentral:rRNA from 1 species
GAUCAUGGCUCAGGACGAACGCUGGCGGCGCGCCUAACACAUGCAAGUCGAACGGUGAAGAGGAGCUUGCUCCUCGGAACAGUGGCGGACGGGUGAGUAACACGUGAGCAACCUGGCUCUAAGAGGGGGACAACAGUUGGAAACGACUGCUAAUACCGCAUAACGUACCGGGAUGGCAUCUUCCUGAUACCAAAGAUUUUAUCGCUUAGAGAUGGGCUCGCGUCUGAUUAGAUAGUUGG